AGCACAUAGGGGUAUUUGAACGAUCUACGCGGCCAAAAGUCAAUUUUUCAAAAUAUGAAAUACUUCCACGAAAUCGGGUACCUGGGGUACCUGACCCUUCUGGGAACAAUAUGCAAUGCCUCUAAUUAACCUUAAGUGCAUGUCGGACCGGUAAUGUCAGUCGGAAUUCGAUCGUGUCACCUCGUGUACGUUAUCUGUUCUCGGCGCUCUUACGAAACCUGAAGUUUGAAAGUGAAAUUUUAAGUUAUUAAGUUCCUCAGUGUUGAAAAAAACUAAUGGAUCCUCUAACACAAGGGUCACUGGGUACAUCGGGGAUGAGAAUCGUGACUAGAAAGUACUUGUUUGACCGCAUGACGAGUGCAAAUUUACCCAACUUAGAAGAAAAAUUUGAUUUCUUGAAAGUUCAACUUUUUUCUACUGAAGGAUACAACAAUGACCAAAUUGAGACAUUGAAAAAAAACU